GUCUUACUGCUCCCCGCCCCCACUUCAGAUGCCAGUGGAAAGCCCAGUUUGUUACUUGUGCUUCUGAGCUACCAGCUGUAGAUCGGGAGUUCCAAUGACUCUCUCCCUGGGUUCAAUUAACUUGUUAGCUUUUACAUGGAACAUUUAGAUACUUAUGUUUAAUGUAUUACUAAUUACUGAAAUGUUUUAAUUGCUAAGUUGUGUCCGACUCUUUUGCAACCCCACGGACUGUAGCCUGCCAUGCUCCUCUGUCCAGAUGGAGAAACUGAGGCACCCUGUGUUUUUAAUUGUUUUUCCACAUCCAUGAAUUAUUGCAUUUGAAAUGAUAGCAC
ensembl:lncRNA